rnacentral:rRNA from 1 species
UACGUAGGUCCCGAGCGUUGUCCGGAUUUAUUGGGCGUAAAGCGAGCGCAGGUGGUUUAUUAAGUCUGGUGUAAAAGGCAGUGGCUCAACCAUUGUAUGCAUUGGAAACUGGUAGACUUGAGUGCAGGAGAGGAGAGUGGAAUUCCAUGUGUAGCGGUGAAAUGCGUAGAUAUAUGGAGGAACACCGGUGGCGAAAGCGGCUCUCUGGACUGUAACUGACGCUGAGGCACGAAAGUGUGGGGAGCAAACAGG